rnacentral:rRNA from 1 species
CCCUUAGAUGUCCUGGGCUGCACGCGCGCUACACUGAUGUGUCCAGUAAGCACCUAACCUCUUCCGAAAGGAACGGGUAACCUUUGCAAAGCACAUCGUGAUGGGGAUAGAUUAUUGCAAUUAUUAGUCUUGAACGGGGAAUUCCUAGUAAGCACAAGUCAUCAGCUUGUGUUGAUUACGUCCCUGCCCUUUGUACACACCGCCCGUCGCUCCUACCGAUUGAAUGUUCCGGUGAGCUCUUCGGACUGCGCGGUCUGCAGUUUCUGCGUUCCGUGCGGAAAGUUGUGCAAACCUUAACAUUUAGAGGAAGGAGAAGUCGUAACA